UAUUGGUUCUCCCGCAACGCUACUCUGUUUACCAGGUCAGGUCCGGAAGGAAGCAGCCAAGGCAGAUGACGCGUGUGCCGGGAUGUAGCUGGCAGGG
rnacentral:SRP_RNA from 2 species